AGUCGAGGGGUAGUUGUUUUCGGACAUGAGACCGGCGCACGGGUGCGUAACGCGUAUACAAUCUACCUUUUACAGAGGGAUAGCCCAGAGAAAUUUGGAUUAAUACCUCAUAGUAUUUUUGAAUCGCAUGAUUUGAUUAUUAAAGUUCCAACGGUAAAAGAUGAGUAUGCGUCCCAUUAGCUAGAUGGUAAGGUAACGGCUUACCAUGGCAACGAUGGGUAGGGGUCCUGAGAGGGAGAUCCCCCACACUGGUACUGAGACACGGACCAGACUCCUACGGGAGGCAGCAGUGAGGAAUAUUGGACAAUGGGCGCAAGCCUGAUCCAGCCAUGCCGCGUGCAGGAAGAAGGUCCUAUGGAUUGUAAACUGCUUUUAUACAGGAAGAAACACCUCUACGUGUAGAGACUUGACGGUACUGUAUGAAUAAGGACCGGCUAACUCCGUGCCAGCAGCCGCGGUAAUACGGAGGGUCCAAGCGUUAUCCGGAAUCAUUGGGUUUAAAGGGUCCGUAGGCGGCCAAAUAAGUCAGUGGUGAAAGCCCAUCGCUCAACGAUGGAACGGCCAUUGAUACUGUUUGGCUUGAAUUAUUAGGAAGUAACUAGAAUAUGUAGUGUAGCGGUGAAAUGCUUAGAGAUUACAUGGAAUACC
rnacentral:rRNA from 1 species